AAUACCUAUAUUUUUAUGAUUAUUUGCAGGAGAUGGAUUCUUCUCAGUGCCCUAUCAUCAGUUUUAUAGUCACUAGCUACUUUGCUACACCCAGGGUCAGAGCAAUCGUAUUUGUCUAUAUACUUGUUUGUGCAAGCAUCAGUGAGGUAAAGCAAAGUAUGAAAUGUCAGUAACACCAGUGUUGUAAUUCUACUCUCGUUGCCUCGCAUUCAGAUUUUCCUGAGUUCCAGAUACUGACUAUUUCUUUCUAACUGUGUCAUUGCCUCCCAUACUCAACUUAUUCCAGGCAAUGCCAUUAGGUUAAUGCAAAGGCUGAGCACAGCACUAUGCCAAAAAAAUCACCAAAAUAGGUCUGCGUAAAAAAAACUGUGAUGAAUUUGCAAAGCCUCCUGUAAAUGCCUAAGGACUUCACACUCUAUAAAUAUUUAAAGCAAAUAUCUCCCAAUACAUAAACACACUCAUUUCCUGCUGAUAAACCCAGACACAUCUGCAGGGGUGGAGGGAAGGCAGUUAUCUGCAUUCAGAUGUUGUUUAGCAUAUCUCUAAAUGCAAUGAAACUUUUUUGUGCUAAUUCUUCCUUCUCACUUAUCCAUUUAGUCAUCAUAUAGCAUUUCAAAAAUCCAGGAGAUGUAAUCCAGCUCCUAAUCUGAGCUAAUGGGAACUCUGUCUAAUUAAAAACUCAUCAGUGCAAAAAUGUUUUGUCACAGCAAAAAAAAAAAAAAAAACCCUACAAUACGCAACCCUUAAAAAAAUCCAUCCCAUAGUAUAACUACUUUUAUUUCUUGUGCAUGAUCUGUGCAAUUAGACAGCAAUUUACCUCCAUUAAACAUCACAUACGUGCAAGAAAAGUCUUGUUUACACUAAACAGUUUGGGAAGAUGAAAGGUGUUUUCUAACAUGGGAGUCAGCUCAUCCACUAUGAAAAAGUAACAACUCAGGGGCAAUUAAGUGUCUCCUGUCUACUACAGCUCAGUCUAGUAUUACAUAGCAGCAGAGAAUGAAUAAUAAUAAUAAUAUUAAAAUGUUAUCAAGUACUAUCUAUCAAGGAAAAGCUACACAGGCAGAAUGCCUCUGUGUAAUAAACAGUGCAUCUGGGUCAUAAAGGCCUUCAAACAAUUAGGCCUCAUUUUUCUGUCUCAGAUGUGCAGUGCCUGCUCUCAUUCUGUUUGCCUGCUCCGAUUCAGAUGUAAGUUGGAUUCAGGGAGCAUUCAGCAACUGCUGCCAUUGUGUCUGCGGCAUGUGGGCUCCUCUCAAUGCUCUGCUGAGCAACUGAACCCUGGCUCUGCUCUUCCGACCUAGUGCCAUCUCUGAAAGGACACAAGGACAGCAGAUAUAGAGAUCUACCUCCAGCAUUCUGAAAUCUGGCACUGUCCCAGAGCUCCAGGAGCUGCUUCACUGCUCUCUCCCCAGAUUGCCAGAUGGUGAGUGAAAGCCCAGCGAGCGUGCGGACUGUUGUCUUUGCAGUUUCAUCGUUUAGAUCCACUACAGAACUCAAGUAGUGGUACUGCAUUACUUCAACAGCCUGAAUCACACCAUGAAGCUUGUCUUGUUACAAGAAUCUAUACAUCUCCUUGCAUGCCUAUAGGGUCUUAGAUGUAGAAAUGAAGAGAAUUUAUUUUGUUUCUCUUCGCCCAGGAUGAACCUGAGGAACACAUCUUCCCACCUCUUUCAGUCACCAAACUGAGAUAAAUGGCUCUUUCAUAAGCAGGUGAUGCACUGUGAUGACAUAUGCUCAACUACAAGAAACUGUGAAGUAUGCAUGGUAAAAUAAUUUAUUCAAUGUUUUAUAUGAAGCAGAUUCUAUUCAAACACAGCAAUAUCCUGCCAAUUGUAUGGAGAAGCAGGCAGAGGUAAGCCUAGAAAGGCAUCUUUUUUUUCAGAUCUUUUCAUAAGCUUUCUACAUUUUUGAUUCAAAAGUAACAAUAGGAGUUAGCAAUUACAUACACAGGGCCCACCUCUACUCUGAGCUCAGUGUGGCCAUUCAUACCUAUCCUAAGCAACUGCAGAAGAGCACCUGAAAGAGGCAGAAUGCUGCUCCUGCUUCCUGGAAGUGUACUGGAAAGACACUGCAAAGGAGAUGGAGCCUCACCACGCUCUGCUGUGUUCACCAAGGUGUUUGACCCAUCUGGAGGAGCACUGCCAGUGCAAGGGACUGAGAGAAAGAAAAAAAGAUUGAAGCAUUCUGUUGUUAUAAAGAAACACUUCCGUGUAAUUUUGCUUUAAUGGUAGAGGAAAGCUUGAUGAGAGGAAAAAGGAUUGCAAUAUGCAGACACUGGUGAUAGCAGCAGAGGGAAAAAAUGGAAAUUUUGCUGUGGGUAGACACAAACCAGCAAAUUGGAAUAGAUUUUUUUCUACUCUAAAAGGAGGAGAGCUUCCACACAUACCUGCUAAUUAAUAGGACACCUUUCGCUGACAAUAUCAACAGGAAGUGCAAAUCCUAACCUAGUUUGGUUUCCUUUGUACAAGGUUUUAGUCACUGAGCAAGCAGUAGGUAAGUGUACUGUAGAAAAAGCUAUGAUAAAUUCUAAAUUUUCAUGCCAACACAGCUUCUACCUCCACUUCUUUGCUGACAAAUUCUUGUAGGAUAAUUAAGUAGGAUAAUUAAUGGAAGAGAUUCAGAGUAGAACACACCACAUGAAGGCAGAGAUUCUGCUGCUGCUGUUCCUGAACUUCUCACAGGAAUGCUCCUGCUCUUUUCUGAACAUCUAGGCAAUUAAUAUUAAUUUUCAAUUGUUUGUGUGUGUUUCCCCAGGGUAGGUGGCAGAAGUCAUGAUCAUUUUAACAGCCUAUAUAAAGGGAAGUUCAUGUGCUCCAGUGAGGUGAUGGUUACCUGCCACUAUGCAAACCAAGAAAUUUAGGCUUUAUCAAAGACUGUGGGAAUUCUAGACUUGGCAGCAGUGGGACUGAGCUCUAGUCAAUCUAAAAAAUUUCUUGAUCCUACAAAACAUGCCUGGAAACAUUACUUGAAGGUCACUUGGUGGAAAGGCUGGCUAUAAUCCUCUGGAUAUCAGAAGCAAACCAGCAUGAAGAGGUGAAAAUUCAUUCCUCUGUGUGGCCACCUAGACCAUCUCUUGAACUGCAAAAGUUGAUAACAAUAUUUAAGAAAUGGUAGGUAAGAAACAUAAGAGGGAAAUAUCCAUAUUUCAAAUAGUUGGGUUUUUUCCUUUCUGAUUACUUACAAAGUUGUUCGGAAAAGUCUGAUGUUUCUAUUUUAAAAUAAGCUAGGAGAAAAGGGAAACACAUUUCCUGUGCAUCUUCCUUUGUCUCUGUGUGACUUCAUAACAGAAUUAAUUGUCACUCUGUGCUUUAUCUGGGAAGAGGGAAGGUUUUGAUUUGGAACAACAUUGCAAGGAGCACACAGAAGCAGAAGCAGGCAUGGAUCUUUGGUACUUGGACAGAAAGAUCAGUCACUUUUGGAUCAGAGGUGCUGGCAAACCAUUGAAACAAUCUGUUGAGGCAAAUAAUAAAAGGACUGCACAGUGGAUAUCAGGACUACGUACUGCCUGUAACAUGUUGCCUACUGUUCAAGGUUACAAGCCUAAUGUACACAAAAUAAGGUCAAUCACAGCAGCAUCUGAUGCAUUCAAUGUAUUUUUGGAUGUGUGUGACUUCUCAAUUUCACACCUGCGCAGCAGGGCUUGAUUCCUAUGUUGCAAUUGCUUCUGACUCAGUAGGCAUUACAAAUAAUCAGUGCUCCUUGAUUUCUCCACCUCUCUUCUUGAGGAAUCUGUUACCUACCUUUGGUUUCAUGCCAGAUCAAAAGUAACUAAUUCCAUUUUUAACCCUGAAGCUGUUUAAUAAUUUCUCUCCUCUUCUACCCUUUUCCCUCACUAUGAGAGGGUAAUGACCCAUUUUGAAAGGGUCUGUAACAAAGCCUCUUCACCACACAAUUUACUAGUUUACAGCUAUUCCAAAAGCUCUACUAGAUUCACAGAGAGAAAAUAACCUUUAAAACAGGUCUCAGAAUAGCAAGAGCAGUCAGUCAACUUUGCAGCCAUGCUAAUCACUUUUCCUAAAUUCCGUGCGUUUGGGGUCUGAAAAAGUGUGUCCCUGCUCUGUUUCUUCAGGCAACACAAAAUACACUGAAGGUAUUUCAGUUCUGCCCACACCAUGCUCACAUGCAGACUGCCCAGUACACUGGCACAGCUGAGUGAAAUGCCUCCCUGCAGAACUAUCCCCUCUUCCCCAUGAACAAGUGGGGUGUACUUAAUUAUCCACCUUCACAAUAAAUUCACCACAGGUACCAAAACACACACAGGAUACGAUUACUGUGGCUUACUCUACUCACCUAACUUACAGCUCUGUUGGUUACUAAAGAUGUUAGUUAGUUAGUUGGGCCCAUAAUUGCCAGCCUGCGUGUUGUACAAGAGCUCUGGAAAUGAAGCUCUAUGAGAAGUAACAUACUCCAGGGAAGAUAAAGUUUUGAAUAAAAAUGUUCUCAUAGUCAGAGAAAGAAUAGGUAGAGUAAGCAGAGGUGAGAUCUGGGAUCAAAAAAUCUGAUGAUCCCUCUUGGCUUGCAUUUCUUGGUGCAGACAAGGGUGGAAACACAGCACAGCUUCUCACAGCCUUGUGGGCUACACCUGCUUUGGUUCUCCCUCCAACAGUACAGGGAGCUAAAGCUGAAGGGUAGAAGUCCCUUACAAAUAAGCAGCAGCCACAGUCCCAUGAUACUACCAGGGUAAGCAGGGCCAUACCUCUAACUGGAAUGUGCCUGGCUGCUUCUUAAAACACUGUUCAGGAAUGUUUACCUUGGAAACUGCAAUGCUUCAGCCUGUGCUCUUCAGCAAAGUCCUGGAAGAGUGGUCACUGGGGAAACUGCCAGCUAGCAGGAGCCCUGCCUUGUAGAAGAGGGAGACCAUUAGCACACUGCUAGAGUGGGCAUAAUGGGGUGGGGCUGAUGUGGGGUUAGACAGUGCACUCAUGUAUAACAUACGUAGUCAAAAAAUCCUCUUGUUCUUCACUGAUCCAAACUGCUUGCUCCUAGUGUUCCCAAAGCCAGAGGCACAGAUUGAACAGAUCACUGAGUUUGUGUGAAACCAUUUAUACAAACAGGGUCAAUGGAGUUAUGCACUGUUAUCUUGUGGCUUUCAGAAUGGGGACAUUUAUAGAGAUGCUGCAAACAUUUGUGACUGCUGUACAGAGAACAAAGUGAACGUUGCUGGGGUUAAGUCACAAAAUUCACUUUAUGAGUGACAAAGAGGUGUUUAGCAAGGAUUGUACCUGCCAAAAUUAGUCACAUUUUCCUAUUUCAUCUGAUUUCUGCAUUUCCCUUGCUAAGAAAGAUCAUAGGUAUUUCAAGAAUAGAGGACUAGAUACCUGGGCAAAUACCAUAGCCCUAUUUCCACUCUGACUGUCAUUCACAAUGGAUUUUUUCCAUCACGGCUGUGCUUCAGGUGCUAGCUCGGCUUACAAAGCUUCAGUUCUUUUCAGGUUAUCAGUAAAAGGAGCUCAGUGAAUUGAAGAAUGGCACUAAUAGCAGGAGCCUUGACCGUGUUUGUAGCAGAUGCUAGUUUAUACAUAUCACACCCUCUUUCAAGGUAUUUCAUAAAUUAAUAAAAUGAAAACACUUGAACUAUUGUGAUAUAUAAUAUAAUGGAGACAAAACAUACAAAUAUUUCUCAUAAAACUCCUUAGAAUGGAUUCUAAGUGUCUCAUUUUAUUAACAAGGAUUCCAAUCUACAGCUGACAAACAUUCCAGAGAAAGAGGAAUAAAUUAAUCAAUCCUUCCCUUUUAUAAAGAUCAAAACAAACCACAUUCCUUCAUCUCGUGUUUAGGCAGAAACAAGGGAUAAUUUUUUUGAAGUGGUUACUAAAGGAUAUCCACCUACCCCUGCCAUACGUUUUGCAACUGGAAAGAGCCCAGGUGGCUCAAACAAUGUUUAUCAAUCCUUUUCCUAAGCUGCUAUUGGUGCAUUCGAGCAGAUCAAUUGUAUUCAGUCAAGGUGGUGGUGUUCAUUCUGCAGUACCUCUUUGACCUGCAGGAUAUUUCAUUUUUCUGCAAUGCACCGCAGCUGCUGCAUGGAUAAGACAUGUCCCUUUGGCUUGCCGUUUGUCUGGCAAGCUUAUGUUUCCACAGGCAUGUCAACACCUCCUUGGAUAUUAGCACAACUAUAAAUGUUAGUUUAUGCUAAUAAGUAAGACGUUGAAAAACAAAGGAAAGGUCAGAAACUUGUUUUAUAUUAAGUGUGAUUUCCCAAGACAAAAUAAACCUGAUUCACAGCACAUGCUUACACUUUUCCAAGAGAUAUAUUUAUAGCUGGGAAUAUGUACUUUGGCUAACCCUAUUGUAAGCACCGAGAAGGGAGGGGAGGAGGGUUUUUUUUUUUAACUUUUAAAGUAAAAGGGAGGUUAAUUGGUUCUGCUAGCUGAAGGGCUAUGUGCCAGGCAGCGGGAGCAUGCAUUGCAAUAGAAGAGCUACAGAGACAAAUGAGCUGGUCCACAAGAUGAAAAAAAUCCACCUAAUGCCUUGGGAAAAGGAGGGGAAAAAACCACCAAGGCACAAAUAAAAUAAAAUAAAGUAAAAUGAAAUAAAAUACAAGCAAGAAAUCUCUGUCUGCUUCAGAUACAGUGAUUUUAAACAGAAUCUCAUGCAAAUAAUAAAUAACUCUUUGUUUAGAAGGGUAAAGAACAUAUUUUUUCUGUGCUGUAUUUGCUAGAAGAGGUGGUCAAGUCAAGACUGAAGUACUGCUUGCUCAUUGCCAUCAUAUUUACCCUUUCUGGCCCAGAAACUCUAGAGCCCAAAGUAGCUAAAGGCAUCCCAUCAUUAAAGGUUCUUGUCAUCAUCACAAAGAACAAAUCUCACUUAUUUUGUCCCCUUAAAUCAGGGAUGAAUGAUUUCUGUGAGCCAAGCAGCAGUGUGAGCCAAAAGCAAGCAGGAACAGAUCUCAUAGACCUUGAAGGAAAAUCACUGAAGAAAGGGACAGCUACUCCAUGGCAAUGUUUCACUGACAUUGGCCAUGACAAGCAUGUACAUAAACUUAUCACAAUAUAUUUACAGAAGGAAGGGCAGAUCUUGAUAGAGAAAAGAAGCCCUAUUUAAUUUUCUUGUUUAUCCAACUUUUUUUUUUUUUGCUUAAUUGCAAGGAGCAUAAUUAUCUUUAAUUUUCUUAUUUUUUCAUAUUUUGUGUAGUUCCCUGUCCCUUUGUUCUUUCUUUCUUUUCUCCUUUGGCAGAAACUACAAUUGUCCUUCAACAGAGACCUGCUUUGGAGAAUCUCUUGUACUUACCCAUUACUCUUCACUUAAGGUCGCACAUCCAUUUCCAACACUGAUUGAUGAUAGUACCUGGUAUCAUCCUAAGCUGCACAAAAGCCAAAGAGAGCACCUGCAGUAGCCCAUCCUCAGUAAAAGUGUCAGCUACCACUUACUGCAGUGACAAAACUGCUGUUAAAAUACUAAUAGUUUCUCUCAGGUUUUCAUUUCUAUUCACAGCAUUAUAAAAGCUCAGGAAGUGGUACUAUCUCUGUGGUACAGAUGGAGUUUCAUGAAAACUUGCAGAAGGAAGAGUAUGAGGCAGCACUGGUGUGUGACAGCAAUUUCUUCCAGACCUGGCUGGAGUCAGAAUGCACAGAGAUUCAAAGGUGUUUCGUUCAAUAGGAAUUAAGACCCUGAAUAGCUUUCAGGAUCUGGAAGAAACAAGAUUAAGAUACGGAUGUCUGGAAGAUAUUUUGGUCUGACUCUACACAGACUUAAGUUACUUGGGGUUUUAAGUCCCACUUUCAAACAUGACCUUAAUGUAACUGCUUAGGAUCACACCUUCUUCAUGAUUUUUACAGGAAUGUCCAGUUGGAGGGACAAGAGUUUGCAAUUUGGACCAGACAUAGUCCUUUCCUACUAAUAGAUCCUUUACUUUAUUGGAUGGCACAGUGCAUGAGCUUAAUAUUCUUCCCUGUAAUUGCUAAAAUUGUUAAAAUUUUGCUUUCUGCCCUACAAAGUGUGAAACAGCACAUUUAAAAAUGUUUAUCAUGAAUGCUAAUGGAAGAUUUGGAAAUUCUGCUGUGCAAAUUCCACAGUGAACUGCCGAGGUCAGAGUCUUCUUUUCUUGUGUCUCUUUUCAAAUGUACUAUAUUUCCUUUGGUAAGUCAGCUGUAAAAUUUUACUUAAUAACUAAAAUAAAGUUAUGACAUUGUUUCCACUGGGAUUGAACAGACCUGUAACUAAGAGAAACUCAGAGAAGGAGAUUAGCAAGGAGUUAUUUUUUUUCAUUUCUUAUUAAUAGAACACCAAACCAUGAAGCACUGAAAUUUCCAAAGUGAAAUUACUGUUAUAUUUCACAGGCUGUGAAUGCAUAAGUUUUUCAUGUGUUUGGCACACAUUAAAAUACAUUUUUAUUUUUUUGCAUGUUCAUCUAUUAAAAGGCAAAUUUUAGAAAUUGUCCAUCCGGUCAAGCUCAGUGCAUUGCUAUGUGAGUUUCUAGUUUUUGUAAAAAAGAUGGACACUGUGUAGAUUAGACGCUAUUUUUCUUCAUAGAACAUAUUGGUCAUUAAUAUACAUGGUACUCACACACACAUAAUAUUAAUAAAAAUCAUGACUUAAUAGCCAUGUGCAAAAAAUAUCUUCUGUGGAAUUAAACAGUAACAUUGGAAAUAUUUUGCUUCCAACAUGUCAUUUUUAUUCUUCUGUAAGGGGUAACUGUUGUGAAAAAUUUAAUGUUACUCUCUCCAGUAAAAGGCCAUGCUAACAUUUACUGAAUGACCUAGUUUCCAAAUUUUCUUCUUUCCCCCUCACCUCAAUAAAGACCAUGUGUGGUUGUGUUUAUGUUAACAUAAUCAUUUCUGUUUCUCACUCUUGUUACAAAGCACUGCCAGGAUAUUUAUGGAAAAGCAUGCAAGGUGCACAGUUCUGGUUAGUUUCUUUUAAAUUUUCAAAUUGAAACUGAAGUAGUCUUGUUUCUUUAUGUAUUGCUGGUGAUUUGAGGUCUUUUACAGAGUGACAUGUAGAAUGGAAUAUCAAACAAAAUAGUUCAAUAAGAACUAGACAGGACAGUGGAAAAACACCAUUUUGAUUCUGCCACUUUAAAAAAUGUAUGUGGAGAAAUUAAAAACAUAGAUAUUUUUGAAUGAAGACUUAAAGCAUUUUCCUUUAAAAAAAAUUUCUAAAAGUUCCAAGUAAGAGAUUCACACUUUUUCUUUUGUCUUAGUUCUUUUUAUGGAACAAUUCAGUAAAGCUUAAUGGAAUACACAUCCCUGCAAUUUACAUUUUUCACCAAAAGAAUUGCUUCAGCUAAAAACUGACAUGGCUCUGAACAAAAGAAAUUGAAUACAUUCUACUUUGCCCUUACUAUGAUUUAUUUGCUUCCCUGAAAAGAGAAGCCUUUCUGAGUCUUAUCAUUUGCCCAGGUGAAUUUGGGAUAGUUAAAAUGGAAAUAUUUUGAUAAUAAAUAACAACAACAACAA